GAUAAGAACGUAGUGAAAUGCGAUAAGUAAUGUGAAUUGCAGAAUUCAGUGAAUCAUCGAAUCUUUGAACGCAUCUUGCGCUCCUUGGUAUUCUGAGGAGCAUGCCUGUUUGAGUGUCAUUAAAUUCUCAACUACACUGACUUUGAAUUGGUGUGGCUUGGAUUUGGGGGGAAAAUUGUUGUGGGCUUUUUGUAUAGUCUGCUCCCCUGAAAUUGAUUAGCGGUACCUUUGUGGAACUGUCUACAGGUGUGAUAAUUAUCUACAUCUUAGACAUCUGCUGGAAUGCUGCUUUCUAAACCUUACUUGUAUUGACAAUCUUGACCUCAAAUCAGGUAGGACUACCCGCUGAACUUAAGCAUAUCAAUAAGCGGAGGA
rnacentral:misc_RNA from 1 species